rnacentral:tRNA from 5 species
CCCCUAGCCUUCCAAGCUAACGAUGCGGGUUCGAUUCCCGC